rnacentral:rRNA from 1 species
AGUGAACGCUGGCGGUAGGCCUAACACAUGCAAGUCGAACGGCAGCACAGGAGAGCUUGCUCUCUGGGUGGCGAGUGGCGGACGGGUGAGGAAUACAUCGGAAUCUACUUUUUCGUGGGGGAUAACGUAGGGAAACUUACGCUAAUACCGCAUACGACCUACGGGUGAAAGCAGGGGACCUUCGGGCCUUGCGCGGUUGAAUGAGCCGAUGUCGGAUUAGCUAGUUGGCGGGGUAAAGGCCCGCCAAGGCGACGAUCCGUAGCUGGUCUGAGAGGAUGAGCAGCCACACUGGAACUGAGACACGGUCCAGACUCCUACGGGAGGCAGCAGUGGGGAAUAUUGGACAAUGGGCGCAAGCCUGAUCCAGCCAUACCGCGUGGGUGAAGAAGGCCUUCGGGUUGUAAAGCCCUUUUGUUGGGAAAGAAAUCCAGCUGGCUAAUACCCGGUUGGGAUGACGGUACCCAAAGAAUAAGCACCGGCUAACUUCGUGCCAGCCGCCGCCGUAA